UCAGGAUGAACGCUGGCGGCGUGCUUAACACAUGCAAGUCGAACGAUGAUCCGGUGCUUGCACCGGGGAUUAGUGGCGAACGGGUGAGUAACACGUGAGUAACCUGCCCUUAACUCUGGGAUAAGCCUGGGAAACUGGGUCUAAUACCGGAUAUGACUGAUCAUCGCAUGGUGGUUGGUGGAAAGCUUUUUGUGGUUUUGGAUGGACUCGCGGCCUAUCAGCUUGUUGGUGAGGUAAUGGCUUACCAAGGCGACGACGGGUAGCCGGCCUGAGAGGGUGACCGGCCACACUGGGACUGAGACACGGCCCAGACUCCUACGGGAGGCAGCAGUGGGGAAUAUUGCACAAUGGGCGAAAGCCUGAUGCAGCGACGCCGCGUGAGGGAUGACGGCCUUCGGGUUGUAAACCUCUUUCAGUAGGGAAGAAGCGAAAGUGACGGUACCU
rnacentral:rRNA from 1 species